AAAGUCGUAACAAGGUUUCCGUAGGUGAACCUGCGGAAGGAUCAUUAUUGAUUUAGCGGACCGAGCGUUAGCGAGGUUCUGCGAUCGUUUGUAUUUAAAACCCACUCUUGAAUGUAUAAAAUUUAUGUAUUAAUGAUAAAAAUAAAAGAUCACUUUCAACAACGGAUCUCUUGGCUCUC
rnacentral:misc_RNA from 1 species